GAUGAACGCUAGCGGGAGGCCUAACACAUGCAAGCCGAGCGGUAUUGUUUCUUCGGAAAUGAGAGAGCGGCGUACGGGUGCGGAACACGUGUGCAACCUGCCUUUAUCUGGGGGAUAGCCUUUCGAAAGGAAGAUUAAUACUCCAUAACACAUUGAUUGGCAUCAAUUAAUAUUGAAAGCUCCGGCGGAUAGAGAUGGGCACGCGCAAGAUUAGCUAGUUGGUGAGGUAACGGCUCACCAAGGCGAUGAUCUUUAGGGGGCCUGAGAGGGUGAUCCCCCACACUGGUACUGAGACACGGACCAGACUCCUACGGGAGGCAGCAGUGAGGAAUAUUGGUCAAUGGGUGCAAGCCUGAACCAGCCAUCCCGCGUGAAGGACGACUGCCCUAUGGGUUGUAAACUUCUUUUGUAUAGGGAUAAACCUACCCUCGUGAGGGUAGCUGAAGGUACUAUACGAAUAAGCACCGGCUAACUCCGUGCCAGCAGCCGCGGUAAUACGGAGGGUGCAAGCGUUAUCCGGAUUUAUUGGGUUUAAAGGGUCCGUAGGCGGACUUAUAAGUCAGUGGUGAAAGCCUGCCGCUUAACGAUAGAACUGCCAUUGAUACUGUAAGUCUUGAGUAUAUUUGAGGUAGCUGGAAUAAGUAGUGUAGCGGUGAAAUGCAUAGAUAUUACUUAGAACACCAAUUGCGAAGGCAGUUCUCUGGGCAGUAACUGACGCUGAGGAGCGAAAGCAUGGGGAGCGAACAGGAUUAGAUACCCUGGUAGUCCAUGCCGUAAACGGUGGGCGCUAGGUGUGAGUCCCUUCCACGGGGUUCGUGCCGUAGCUAACGCAUUAAGCGCCCCGCCUGGGGAGUACGGCCGCAAGGCUAAAACUCAAAGGAAUUGACGGGGGCCCGCACAAGCGGCGGAGCAUGUGGAUUAAUUCGAUGCAACGCGAAGAACCUUACCUGGGCUUGACAUACACCAGAUCGCCGCAGAGAUGUGGUUUCCCUUGUGGUUGGUGUACAGGUGGUGCAUGGUUGUCGUCAGCUCGUGUCGUGAGAUGUUGGGUUAAGUCCCGCAACGAGCGCAACCCUUGUCUUAUGUUGCCAGCACAUAAUGGUGGGGACUCAUGAGAGACUGCCGGGGUUAACUCGGAGGAAGGUGGGGAUGACGUCAAAUCAUCAUGCCCCUUAUGUCCAGGGCUUCACACAUGCUACAAUGGUCGGUACAACGCGCAGCGACACUGUGAGGUGGAGCGAAUCGCUGUAAAGCCGGCCUUAGUUCGGAUUGGGGUCUGCAACUCGACCCCAUGAAGUCGGAGUCGCUAGUAAUCGCAGAUCAGCAACGCUGCGGUGAAUACGUUCCCGGGCCU
rnacentral:rRNA from 1 species